rnacentral:misc_RNA from 1 species
GAUCAUUACGAGUUAGGGUCUUCUCAGGCCCGACCUCCCAACCCUUUGUUUACCCGACCCAUGUUGCUUCGGCGGGCCCGCCGUUUCGACGGCCGCCGGAGGACCGCCUAUUCAGGUCCUCUGGCCCGCGCCCGCCGGUAGCCAAUUCUACCAAACUCUUGAAUCAAAUCGUGUCCAAUGUCUGAGUAUAUUACAAAAUAAAAGCAAAACUUUCAACAACGGAUCUCUUGGUUCUGGCAUCGAUGAAGAACGCAGCGAAAUGCGAUAAGUAAUGCGAAUUGCAGAAUUCCAGUGAGUCAUCGAAUCUUUGAACGCACAUUGCGCCCUUUGGUAUUCCGAAGGGCAUGCCUGUUCGAGCGUCAUUAUCACCCCUCAAGCCCCCCGGCUUGGUGUUGGACGGUCUGGUCGAGCGUUUCCGCGCGACCCCUCCCAAAGACAAUGACGGCGGCCUGGUUGGACCCCCGGUACACGGAGCUUCUUCACUGAGCACGUAUCGGUUUCAAGGUGUCCCCGGGACCCGGUCGACCUCUCUUGCUCCCCUGCGGGAGUGGGAGAGAACCCCCCUUUAUCAAGGUGAC